GCAGGCAUGACGUCUCGGGCUCAGUCAAGCGAAGACCAGUGGAAGAAGUGGAGGAGGAAUAGUGGGAUUAGGUAUUCUGGCUGGUGUGCUGUGUCGCAGUUACAUCUCCAGUGUGGUGGUGUGGACAAACACAGACCACAGUGUGUUCGAAGCGUCACCACCGCUAUGAUCAUCUCCUCAAUCUUCCCUGUGGUGUGGAGAGUCAGGGAUCCAACUUACCGUCAGGACUCUCGAGGUACAGGUCUUUAUCACAGGAGUACAACAACAACAACAACAACAACAACAAUAAUAACAACAACAGCAACGCUGCUGCUGUUGCCGCCUUCAUCGUAGAAGAGGUUCUUUUACAAACCAUGCAAAACCUUCGGUUCAAGAAUGCGGCGCCAAGAUAUGACUGCUCCGUAUACAGCUGCUGUGGCUUUCCUUUCCUACACUUUCUCCUCUCGGUGCAUCGUUUACGGAAUAUCAUCAUCAGCAGCAGCUUAAAUGCGUCUACCAAGAUCAGAACGCUUGUCACCACUGAGAGGUGGCGCUUGGGGUACUUUAACUGCUGGGUACACUGGUCUGCCAUCGCCAAGGUGUCCACUAGAUGCCGUAAAUGGUGUCCUUCCUGAUGAUGUCUUUAUAUCCUCCUCGUCUGGGCGGGAGUUAUGGGACAUACGGGUCAGGGCGUCCUCGUAUCACUCCAGCAGCGUUACUCCAUGGACACAACGGCGAGGGUUUCCUGCAGCCAACACUCAGGAAUGCGCCUCCACGUGCAAGGCAAACGCUACGCCACUUAUCAGCCUCCUUUUAUUGUCAUCUAUUUAUAGCCUCCCUCGUUAUGCCAAGUUGAUCGCCUGCAGUCUGUUUAUUUGUGUGUUUGUGUAUUUAUUUUUGCUUUUUGCAUGUCACUUUCUUUGGUAGUGAUCUAUUUUCAUUUAUCUAUUAAUCUUUUUAUUUCCAGCUUCAUGUCCAUUAAAUUCUGUAUGCAUUUAUUUA